CUCGAACUUGCGGAGGGAUCAUUAUUGAGUGUAGGUUCUUCCAACCUCUUGUGAACAUACCUAUAACUGUUGCUUCGGCGGGUAGAGUCUCCGUGACCCUCCCGGCCUCCCGCCCCCGGGCGGGUCGGCGCCCGCCGGAGGAUAACCAAACUCUGAUUUAACGACGUUUCUUCUGAGUGGUACAAGCAAAUAAUCAAAACUUUUAACAACGGAUCUCUUGGUUCUGGCAUCGAUGAAGAACGCAGCGAAAUGCGAUAAGUAAUGUGAAUUGCAGAAUUCAGUGAAUCAUCGAAUCUUUGAACGCACAUUGCGCCCGCCAGCAUUCUGGCGGGCAUGCCUGUUCGAGCGUCAUUUCAACCCUCAAGCUCUGCUUGGUGUUGGGGCCCUACAGCUGAUGUAGGCCCUCAAAGGUAGUGGCGGACCCUCCCGGAGCCUCCUUUGCGUAGUAACUUUACGUCUCGCACUGGGAUCCGGAGGGACUCUUGCCGUAAAACCCCCAAUUCUCCAAAGGUUGACCUCGGAUCAGGCACGAAUGCCGCGCAGAAGCUUAAGG
rnacentral:rRNA from 1 species